rnacentral:lncRNA from 1 species
GUGUCAUGGGGUCAUGGAUGCUGGUUUGGAUUCUGUGUGCCACAGUCACUCUGAGUGAGUCUGCUGUUAUGAAAUAUUAGUUAAACAAUGUAAUAUUACUUAAAAGACGAGGCUAAGCCCUUGUUUUGUUUUUCAUUUUGCUGGGCGGCAAGAAAAAAAAAAGCUAAAAAAAAGCAAACAUGGGAAUUAUUUCUAUACAAAAAAUACUCUCUCAGAAACAAAGGUGCAAUAGUCGUCACUGGGGAGGUAUCUUUUCAAAGGGUACACUUUUCUGAGAGUGUAUUAAUAAACAAUGCUGUUUAAAUAUUGGAAUGCAUUUUCAUUAGAAAAAAGCAAAAAAAAACAAUUCAUCAGUUAUUGAGUCCUUUGGAGUGACAAAAUCAGUUUCUUAAUUCUGAAAAUCAUUCUUAAUCAGGAGCCCUAUUAAGAAAAUAAAAUAAUUUCUAAAUAAACAUGAUUGCGUUUACAUCCCCAUUAGAUUUACACAAAGAACACUGUCCGGAAAACAAUAUAGCUAUUAAAAUAAAGUAAAACAUUAAAGCAUAAAUGAAAGUAGAAGUAUGGAAAUGAUAUCAGUACAGAAAACAAUGUAAUGCUAUUUAAAUAUAUUGCAUUUUCUAAAAUAUAUUUUAUGUUACAUUAAAAAAUCUAAUAUUUUUUACACCAAUUUUCAGUCCCUUGGAGUGACAAAAUCCUAUAAUUCUGAGAUAAUUAGAAAUAUCAGUCCAACAGAAAAUAAAUAAGGGGUUUUCAUGCUUGUACUUUUAAGUUUGUUAAAGUCUCACCUCCUGAAACGACUCCAAAUCACAGAAAAAUUACAUACACUUUUCAUUAAAAUGGAAACGUAAAAUAAAGAGUUACCAGUCAGUCGUUAGUUACUAAAAACUAAUUCUUUUCAAUAACUGUCACCAGUGCCUGUGUGUCUUCACGGAGCAAUAUCGGUCCGUUUUAAAACCGGACGGCCUCUGUAUGUUGCGCUCGGACAAACUCUUGUUCUGGAAGCCGUGUUUGAGAAGGAUCCAGAAGACAAGAUAGACAUAGUGACGUGGGACCGCGAGAGAGGAAGAGAGCAUGUCAGGCUGUCACACAGAAACAGAAUAUCUUUGGAGAACGGAGAUGCACUUCUGCGGGUCACUGAUGUUGCAGAAGGGGACUUUGCGAUCUACAAGGUCACUGUUACAGACAGGAACGGAUACCAGCAGCACGACUCAAUAGAAGUGCGAAAGACAGUGGAAUCUCCAAAGGCGUCAAUAACACGUGUGCUGGAGUGCGUUGUGGAUAAUCACGGCAUGACGCAGUGGGACAGCCCUCAGUUUUCUUGGCUGGUUGAUGGUGUUACAGUAACCAAUCAAAGCGCUCUGUUAGCAGAUGGCAGUAGACUAGACAUCUCUAAAAUUAAGGGCGUUAACUACACCUGCAUCAUCAAGAGCAGCCUGGGGACGGUGACUACACAUCAUCAAAUACCAGAAGAAUCGUCAGCGUCUUGGCCCUGUUGUGCAGCACUGAUUGCAGUUGUAGUUUUAACAGCAGUAAUAAUAACACUUGUGGCUGGGUAAGACCUCUCUUCUACAAUAUAUAUCUCAUUUAGGACUGGUAUAUCAAAUAUUCCCAACAGAUCUCAGAAUAUUUGUAUACACUAUACUGUAUGUGACCCUGGAGCACAAAACCAGUCUUAAGUGUCAUUUUUUUGAAAUUGAGAUUUAUACAUCAUCUGAAAGCUGAAUAAAUAAUAUUUCCAUUGAUGUAUGGUUUGUUAGGAUAGAAUAAUAUUUGUCCGAGAUACAACUAUUUGAAAAUCUGGAAUCUGAGGGUGCAAAAAAUCUAAAUAUUGAGAAAAUCACCUUUAAAGUGUCCAAAUGAAGUUCUUAGCAAUGCAUAUCACUAAUCAAAAAUUAAGUUUUGAUAUAUUUACGGUAGGAAAUUUACUAAAUAUCUUCAUGGAACACGAUCUUUACUUAAUAUCCUAAUGAUUUUUGGCAUAAAAGAAAAAUCUAUAAUUUUGAACCAUACAGUGUAUUGUUGGCUAUUGCUACAAAUAUACCCCAGAGACUUAAGACUGCUUUUGUGCUCCAGGGUCACAUAUACUUUUUAUCAUUUAAAUGCAACUUUCAUUUGUCCACUGAGUUUCUUAAAGUCAUUAGAUUACUUUCAUGAUAGCGUUGUUUGAUUUAAUAUCAUCUCUGAUGCAGACUUCAGUAACAAACUGUGUUAAAUCUUUGAUUUUACUUUUUAAUAUAUUAAAAUGUUAAAAAGUAGCACAACAUUUGCAUAUAAAUCACAAUGUAUAUAUGAAUGUUGAGAUGCAUCAAAUGUUGGUGAAAGGCUGAAAAAUAGAUCAAGAUAUAAUAUUAAGGCUUUAUCCCCCAAACUUAGUCUUUU